rnacentral:rRNA from 1 species
UACGAAGGGGGCUAGCGUUGUUCGGAAUUACUGGGCGUAAAGGGCGCGUAGGCGGCUCUGAUCGUCGGAUGUGAAAGGCCUGGGCUCAACCUGGGAAUGGCAUCCGAUACGGCGGGGCUGGAGUGUGGGAGAGGUUGGUGGAAUUCCCAGUGUAGAGGUGAAAUUCGUAGAUAUUGGGAAGAACACCGGUGGCGAAGGCGGCCAACUGGACCACAACUGACGCUGAGGCGCGAACAGCGGUGGGGAAGC